rnacentral:rRNA from 1 species
CCCUUAGAUGUCCUGGGCCGCACGCGCGCUACAAUGACUCACUCAACAAGUUUUCCUGGCCCGGAAGGGUACAGGGUAAUCUUUAUAAUAUGAGUCGUGUUAGGGAUCGAUCUUUGCAAUUAUAGAUCUUGAACGAGGAAUGCCUAGUAAGUGCAAGUCAUCAGCUUGUACUGAUUACGUCCCUGCCCUUUGUACACACCGCCCGUCGCUCCUACCGAUUUCGAGUGUUCCGGUGAACCUUCUGGACUGGGCUCGCAAGAGCUCGGGAAGUUAAGUAAACCUAAACACUUAGAGGAAGGAGAANUCGUANCA